GACAGAGGGGGCAAGCGUUGCUCGGAAUUACUGGGCGUAAAGGGCGCGUAGGCGGGAUGGCAAGUCGGUCGUGAAAUCCCUCGGCUCAACCGAGGAACGUCGAUCGAUACUGCUGUUCUUGAGGAUUGCAGAGGAGACUGGAAUUCCCGGUGUAGCGGUGAAAUGUGUAGAGAUCGGGAGGAACACCGGUGGCGAAGGCGGGUCUCUGGGCAAUUCCUGACGCUGAGGCGCGAAAGCGUGGGGAGCAAACAGGG
rnacentral:rRNA from 1 species